GAUGAACGCUGGCGGCGUGCCUAAUACAUGCAAGUCGAGCGAACAGACGAGGAGCUUGCUCCUCUGACGUUAGCGGCGGACGGGUGAGUAAAACGUGGAUAACCUACCUAUAAGACUGGGAUAACUUCGGGAAACCGGAGCUAAUACCGGAUAAUAUAUUGAACCGCAUGGUUCAAUAGUGAAAGACGGUUUUGCUGUCACUUAUAGAUGGAUCCGCGCCGCAGUAGCUAGUUGGUAAGGUAACGGCUUACCAAGGCAACGAUGCGUAGCCGACCUGAGAGGGUGAUCGGCCACACUGGAACUGAGACACGGUCCAGACUCCUACGGGAGGCAGCAGUAGGGAAUCUUCCGCAAUGGGCGAAAGCCUGACGGAGCAACGCCGCGUGAGUGAUGAAGGUCUUCGGAUCGUAAAACUCUGUUAUUAGGGAAGAACAAAUGUGUAAGUAACUAUGCACGUCUUGACGGUACCUAAUCAGAAAGCCACGGCUAACUACGUG
rnacentral:rRNA from 1 species